rnacentral:lncRNA from 1 species
UGUCAACCAAGCAUCUUUGCCCUUGGGCAAGGAAAAUCUGUAUUCUCACAUACCUGCCCCCAGUCCAACUACACAUCCCAACCAGCCUGUCCUCCCCUGUAGUAUGGGAACUUCAGGAAGAACCACAAACCACAUGCACCCUCCCAGCCUGGGGAACCCAAGAGGCGAGAUGGCCUGGAGGUUGGCUACAGAGGCUGAGACUGAGGAGGUCUGAGGUGCCUUCAUGCAGGCCAGCCUGCCUGGGCUUGGGCAUUGAUGGGAGAAUGAGUUUCCUUUGCCCUGGCUCCUUUGUUCCAUGGUUUUUAGACACUUAAGUCAUCUCUUUGCUUUUCCUCUUGCCCUUGUACAGUGAAAUCCCCACUGAUGUGAAAGUACUAUUUAAAAAUAACCAAAUGAAUUCAGUGCCUUGCUCCAAAUCUCUCAGUUGUUUCCAUAGAAGAGCUUCAAGUUUCUCCUCUCUGUCUCACUACUUCCCACCCAGCAUUCUCGGCUUCAUCCACUCUCUUCUGGGUCUCCGGCCUUGUUGCUACCUCAGGUCCUAGGUUGGAAUCUUUAUUGGAUAUUUGUGGAGCCAAAUCCUUCUAUUCAGGUCAGUUUCUGCUCACAGGGGUUCUCCUCAAAGGGGUGUACCCUGCUGCAGUCAUGCUAUGUGCUUUGCUUCGACCCACAUACAUUUUAACGUAUAAAAUUAUUUGAGCCAUAAUAAAAUUAAUUACUAUUGUUUAUCUUUCUUCUUAGGACUCUGUCUGUCUAGCUUACUCCUGUGUCG